GCGGGCGUAGCUCAACUGGUUAGAGCGCCGGGUUGUGGUCCCGGAGGCUGUGGGUUCAAGUCCCAUCGCUCGCCCCA
rnacentral:tRNA from 2 species